UACGGGGGGGGCAAGCGUUGUUCGGAAUUACUGGGCGUAAAGGGCUCGUAGGCGGCCAACUAAGUCAGACGUGAAAUCCCUCGGCUUAACCGGGGAACUGCGUCUGAUACUGGAUGGCUUGAGUUUGGGAGAGGGAUGCGGAAUUCCAGGUGUAGCGGUGAAAUGCGUAGAUAUCUGGAGGAAUACCGGUGGCGAAGGCGGCAUCCUGGACCGGCAUUGACGCUGAGGAGCGAAAGCAAGGGGAGCAAACGGG
rnacentral:rRNA from 1 species